UCAGUUCUCCUCUACCCAAGUCUGAAGAAGAGUGAGAAGAGAGAGACAAUAACUUAAAAUGAUCCUGUGGCCUUCAGCACCCACACCAUUUAUCUCAGCCCUUCAACUGCUCCACAUCAUAAGGGCCCAACUAGACCAUACGUCACCAAAGAACAAGCGCCACCCCUUAUGCUUCUCAGGCCCUGAAGUACUGACAAGGAACAUCACAGCAAAACAUGCGAGAGUACAAUGUUUUAAUUUUUUAAUGUGUUUCCAACACAUUAAAAGUAUGGGGGCAUUCACAAAGCUCUACAUUUCUGCCUUCUCUUGAUGUAUCAGCAGAUCAUGCUACACUGGAGCCUCAUUCCUGAACAGCAGAAGCGAGAAGCUGAGCAGUAGCUGUGCCCUUUUUCUCCACUCUAUGCCCA
rnacentral:lncRNA from 1 species